GAUGAACGCUAGCGGCAGGCUUAAUACAUGCAAGUCGAGGGGCAGCAUGAAUGUAGCAAUACAUUUGAUGGCGACCGGCAAACGGGUGCGGAACACGUACACAACCUUCCUAUAAGUGGGGAAUAGCCCAGAGAAAUUUGGAUUAAUACCCCGUAACAUAAUGAUGUGGCAUCACAUUAUUAUUAUAGCUACGGCGCUUGUUGAUGGGUGUGCGGCUGAUUAGAUAGUUGGCGGGGUAACGGCCCACCAAGUCUACGAUCAGUAGCUGAUGUGAGAGCAUGAUCAGCCACACGGGCACUGAGACACGGGCCCGACUCCUACGGGAGGCAGCAGUAAGGAAUAUUGGUCAAUGGACGCAAGUCUGAACCAGCCAUGCCGCGUGAAGGAUUAAGGUCCUCUGGAUUGUGAACUUCUUUUAUCUGGGACGAAAAAAGGCUAUUCUUAGUCACUUGACGGUACCAGAUGAAUAAGCACCGGCUAACUCCGUGCCAGCAGCCGCCGUAACAC
rnacentral:rRNA from 1 species